GACGAACGCUGGCGGCGUGCUUAACACAUGCAAGUCGAACGGAAAGGCCCCUUUGGGGGUACUCGAGUGGCGAACGGGUGAGUAACACGUGAGUAACCUGCCCUUGACUUCGGGAUAACUUCAGGAAACUGGGGCUAAUACCGGAUAGGAAUCCUUGCUGCAUGGUGGGGGUUGGAAAGCUUCGGCGGUUUUGGAUGGACUCGCGGCUUAUCAGCUUGUUGGUGGGGUAGUGGCUUACCAAGGCUUUGACGGGUAGCCGGCCUGAGAGGGCGACCGGCCACAUUGGGACUGAGAGACGGCCCAGACUCCUACGGGAGGCAGCAGUGGGGAAUAUUGCACAAUGGGCGGAAGCCUGAUGCAGCAACGCCGCGCGCGGGAUGACGGCCUUCGGGUUGUAAACCGCUUUCAGCAGGGGCGAAGCUUGUGGUGACGGUACCUGCAGAAGAAGCACCGGCUAACUACGUG
rnacentral:rRNA from 1 species